rnacentral:lncRNA from 1 species
CAAAAUUGUGGGGCGAAUUUAAAAAUAAAAAUAACAUUAAUUUUAAACUCAUAAAAAGAGGAGGGGUCAAAUGUGCAAUUAGCCCCUCCAUAGAAAACGCGUGGAUCCCCUAGGUCGAGUCGGGUCACGUACACAGGCUAAGCUAAAACGGCGUCGUUUAGGCGCCCAUGUUUUGGCCCAAAACAGCGCCGUAUAGGAGGAUCUAUAAAUACCAAAAAAAAAAAAUUUAAAACUUUCAUUUUCCUUCCCUUUCCCACAAAAAUAGAAACCCCCUUUCCCUUUUUCUCUCCAGGCCUGAAGUCUGGCCAGGUUCCAGUGCCGUCCGCCACUGUUCGCCGCCGGCCGCCGACGCCAGCGCCGCUGUGAAGGUAAGAUUGUUUUUUUAUUUUAUUUUAUGUAUUUGUGUGUAUAUAUAUAAUUUUAAGGAAAAUAAAAUUAAUAAAUAAAAAAAACUAAAACAGUAACCUACAUUUUUCUUCUUUUCUGUUCUGCUACUUUGAUUCUUGAUUUGCAAUUGAAAUUGCUGUUAUCUUAUUGAUUUUUUUAGUAUAAAAAAAUGUCCCCUUACAAUAUAUUUUCAAAGGCUUUUAUAACCCUUUUACAAUUGAUUCUUGCCUAGGUGGGCACUGAGGUGGGGGCGUGAGUAAUGCGUCGCACGGCGCGAAGGGCAUGCGGCUCUGGGGUGGCUUGCGGCGCGAGGGCAAAGGCUAGGGUUUCUUUGGCUGAAAUUGUUUAAGUUUUUUUUUAGGGGCCAUAGGAUUGGCUUAGGGUUUUGGGUUAGUUUGGGGUUUGUAUUGGGUUUGGGUUUACGGUCUCCGAGCUAAAUUGGGCCUUACAUACUUUAUGUCAUAUUUGAAUGGGUAAGAACUUAUUACAAUAUAAAAAAACUACUGAAACAAUCUAGCCUAUGAAUUAACUAAUUACAUUAAAGUCUAUGCACGACAAUAGUUCAUGAUGAGACUCAAAGGCUCAUACAUUUAAUUGCGACGAUGAAUCUUGAGUUUAGAUAUUUAGAACCCAUAAACUCCAUGUUUUCAACUACACCAAAGCUUCAUGAUUUAUAAAAAUUAGAUGAUAACUUGUGAAGGCUUGACUGUAUGAUGUUCGAAAUAAAACAAAUUGAGG